rfam:Daucus carota subsp. sativus cultivar DH1 chromosome 3, whole genome shotgun sequence.
CAAGGAAGCAUCCAAAGGGAUCGCAUUGAUCCUUUCCUACAUCAUGAAUAUCUAUGUGUGUCUACAAGAUAUAUGUGAACCAUGUUGAUCAGAGUUCAUAUAUGUGUGUGUUGAAUUUGGAUCAUGCUAUCCCUUUGGAUUCCUCCUU